GUCUUUAAGAUUUUAAUUUAAAGUCCAAUCUGCCCAAUGAAUUUAUUUUUAAAUGGCUGCAGAAUUUAACUGUACUAAGGUAGCAUAAUAAAUUGUUUUUUAAUUUAAAACUAGAAUAAAAGAUUAAAUGAAAUAUAAACUGUUUCAAUUAAUUUUCUAUUAAAUUUUUUAUUUAAGUAAAAAAACUUAAAUAAUUUUUAAAGACGACAAGACCCUAUAGAAUUUUAUUUAUAUAUUUUUUUUAAAAAUAUAUAAAUUUUAUUGGGGUAAUAAAAAAAUUAAAUUAAUUUUUUUUUAAAAAAAACAAUUAUAAAUGAACAAAUUAUCUUAAUUUUUAAAUUAAAAAAAUUAAUUACCUUAGGGAUAACAGCAUAAUUUUUUUUAAAAGAUCUUAUUAAUAAAAAAGUUUAU
rnacentral:rRNA from 1 species